GUGCCAGCAGCCGCGGUAAGACAGAGGGUGCAAACGUUGCUCGGAAUCAUUGGGCGUAAAGCGCGUGUAGGCGGCUUGUUACGUCGGGUGUGAAAGCCCGGGGCUCAACCCCGGCAGUGCACCCGAAACGGGGAAGCUAGAGUACUGGAGAGGCAAGUGGAAUUCCCGGUGUAGAGGUGAAAUUCGUAGAUAUCGGGAGGAACACCGGUGGCGAAGGCGACUUGCUGGCCAGUAACUGACGCUGAGACGCGAAAGCGUGGGGAGCAAACAGGAUUAGAUACCCUGGUAGUCC
rnacentral:rRNA from 1 species